CUAUCUCACCAUGCACAUUCUCAUGGAACUGAACACUUCUCCCUUUGCCUUCCUCUUGAAUCUGAACUGACUUUUACAUCAUGACACAAAAAUAUGUACAGUGGGAUUGGAAUGUAUACCCAGCAAAUCAGAUGAGCAAAAAUAUUCCCUAGAAUUGAACUAAGCUACCUUAAGAACUUUCCACCCAUGAGAGUAGAGGGGAGGGAGUACAGACACAUAAUUCAUUGUGCCAGAGGAAAGAGCUGCCUUUUUGGAUAAAUGUUGAGUCUUGCAUGUUUUAACUUCAUUUCCCCUCCUAUAAAAUAAUGUAUCUGGAGGAAGUGGGGUUAGGGAGAAUGGAGCCUUCGAUCCAUGCUCAUUUUUCUGAAUGCUCACUAUUCUCUGCUAUGGAGGGGCUGGUUUGGAACAAUUCUUACAGCUAUGUGAAAAGUGAUGUGCAGUAGGUCCCUUCAGUCUUUUAAGGGCUUCAUUGGUUGCACCUGUUGUUGAAAUCCCUGGUUUUAGCUAUUUGUUUCUAGAUGCAAACCUCCCUGAUUUUAUAGUUUUGUUAUUCCAAACCCAGGCUUCUAGUGACCCACUGGUCCUUUCUACUCCUUCAAACUCUGGAUUUUCUGCAUGCCAGAGGCAGACUACGAAGAAACAGAAGUGCUAUAUCAGAUUCAUGCUCUUAGAAAACUUCCUCCCCUAUUGCUUUUUUACCACCUGGAUGUGUCAGAUUGCUUCAACACCAGGAUGAAUGCAGGACUUCUCUAAGGAGGCAUCACUUCUUCCUAGUCUGUGAGGAACAUGCCUCACUGCUUGUGUGGUUUUUAUCAGGCCCGUCUGGUAUCUACUUGCCCCUCUCAUUUUCUUCUUUCUUCCACAGUUCCAUAUCACAGAUCCUAAAAGUGGUCUUUACUCUCUAGGCAGGUGGGAACUUCCUUUGCAUCGUUGACUAAGUUCUUUUCUCUCGUGGCUUAGAGUAAAACCCUGUGCUUGCUUAGAAUAUAUAAGGAAAGCUUUUGGCAUUUGAAAAUUCUUCUCUUCCUUGAUAAAGCCUCACUCUUAAAACUUGUCUAACAAGGGUUCAUAGUCAUUUUGUGACAUAGUAGUCUCCUUUAGCAGUCUGAUGGUAUCUCUGGACCCCUUCUCAGAAUAUUGUUUUUAAAUAGAUAAAAAUGUAUGUAGGAUUAUAAAGAAAGCCAAUUAUAUUGAAAUACAGUUAUUAAAAUAUAAAAACAAUUUCAUGAUAGAAUAAUACCUGUAGUUCAUUAAUGCAUUAAAUGAUAAGAUUUAGUGGCAGGACUAGUAACCACU
rnacentral:lncRNA from 1 species